rnacentral:rRNA from 1 species
ACACACCGCCCGUCACACCAUGAGAGUUGGGAAUACCCGAAGCCUGUGAGCUAACUUUAGAGGCAGCAGUCGAAGGUAGAAUCAAUGAUUGGGUGAAGUCGUAACAAGGUACC